GAAAGACCCCGUGAACCUUUACUAUAGCUUGACACUGAACAUUGAGCCUUGAUGUGUAGGAUAGGUGGGAGGCUUUGAAGCGUGGACGCCAGUCUGCGUGGAGCCAACCUUGAAAUACCACCCUUUAAUGUUUGAUGUUCUAACGUGGGCCCCUUAUCGGGGUUGCGGACAGUGUCUGGUGGGUAGUUUGACUGGGGCGGUCUCCUCCCAAAGCGUAACGGAGGAGCACGAAGGUUAGCUAAUCCUGGUCGGACAUCAGGAGGUUAGUGCAAUGGCAUAAGCUAGCUUGACUGCGAGCGUGACGGCGCG
rnacentral:rRNA from 1 species